AUUCCGGUAUUUAGUCAUCUGUAGUUGAUGAUGGAGAAAAUGUCAUUAUCUUCAUAAUUUUGCAUUUUUUUGGAGAGAUUACCAUUGCACUUCUUCUGUUGAAGUAGAAUAUCAAAGGAUCGUAUAAUGAAAACAGGAUACCUGUCUUUAUUCAUCAUCUCCAGGAUGUGAAAGCUUUUUUGCUAAGAAACUUUGACAUCAGUUCAGAAAAUGAUCGAGUCAAGAACAUUUUCUGUGUCUGGUCAGACACAAAAUGCAUUCAAGGUCAUGCAUGAGUUACGACUGCGUAAUUUACUAUGUGAUAUUAUACUCAGCGUAGAUGGAAAGGAAUUCACUGGUCACAAAGUUGUGCUGUGUGGGUGUAGUCCAUAUCUUUGUGCUAUGUUUACAAAUGGCAUGUUGGAGUCGGAGAAAGCACAGAUUGAGAUACAAGGACUAGAGUCAUGGGCCAUGGGAGAGUUGAUUGAAUUCAUGUACACCAGUGUCAUUGAGAUCAAUGUUGACAAUGUAGAAGGAAUUCUGCAAGGGGCCAGCCUUUUAGGACUGCAUCAACUGCGGAAAAUGUGUGCCACAUUCCUACAGUCACAGCUGACUGCCUCCAAUUGCCUUGGUAUCCAUGGCCUGGCCGACAUGUACAUGUGUGGAGAACUGGAAUCCGCCUCCAGACACUUCAUCAACGAGAACUUUCUGGAAGUCAUUCAUUGUGAGGAGUUCAUGCAGCUCUCCUGUGAUCGACUGAUCACUCUGCUCAAAAGUGACACCAUCAGGGUGAACAAAGAGAACGAAGUAAUGGAGGCCGUGUGCAACUGGAUUCAGUGGGAUCCGGACAGCAGGUUCUCGGAAGCCUGUCGACUCCUCCCCCACGUGAAGUUACCUUUGUUAGAAAUCUCUUACCUAGAAAAUGUUGUAGUGCAAUCAGAGUUUGUGAAAAAUUGUGCAAAAUGUCAGUUGUUAAUUAGCAAAGCUAUAACUACAUUACAUGACUCCACAUCCCUUCAGCUGAUCCGACCUCGUGCCAUGCCCAUUAGUAUAUACGUCCUGGGAGGACGAAAUAGUUCCGACUGUCAGCUCUCGAGUAUGGAGAGAUACGACUUUCUUCGAGACCAAUGGUCACAUGUAAGUAAUAUGAAUAUAGCCCGUACAGCAGUUGGAGCAUGCAGUAUAGAUGGCAUGCUGUAUGCUGUGGGUGGAGAAUGUGCCUUAGUGGACACUCAAGAAGACACCCUUUACCUUCGGUGUGUGGAGUGUUAUGACCCCGUGCUGAGACAGUGGGUCCCCAAACCCGACAUGAAAGUCGCUCGCUCAUUUGUAGCUGUUGCAGGGGUUGGAAAAUACCUGUAUGCCAUUGGUAAUUAAAAUAUGAAUUUGUUGAAAUUUCAUGGCUUCCUUCUUUGCUACAACUUACUAAAGAAAUUAUUUUGCUGUUUUCAUUCUCUCUUAAUAUGAAAGGUUCUUUUUAAUCCUUGUGCUUCUUUUACUGGAGCUUUAUCAAAACUCAACAAAAGGAAGGUAAUUUGCAUUGAAAAUUAUUUACUACCGUAGAUGUGCUAAAAAUUCUCAAUAGAAAAAAGUCAUCUUUAUUAUACUUUACUGUAUGUGUUCUUCUCCAAAAUGAUAUGAAAUAAUGAUGAUGAUGAUGAUAUCAUCCAUAUUUUUCAGGAGGAGAGGAUAGAUCUACUAGUUAUAGCAUAAUGGAGAAAUAUGAUAUCAAUACAGAGACCUGGUCAUUUGGUCCCAACAUGAAAAGGAAACGUUCUGGGGCUGGUGUAUGUGUUUGUGAUGGGAAGAUCUAUGUUGCAGGAGGUUAUGAUAAAACCCUUCACAUGGAUCGAGCCAGCGUGGAGUGCUAUGAUCCGAGCACCGACGACUGGACGUUCGUGACAGAGAUGGAGAAGGCUAGAUCUGGACUCUCACUGAUCGCCAUAGACCACAACAUCUACAUGAUUGGAGGCCGAUACAAAACAGCUGAUCAGUACUUUGAUGUGGCAGAAAGGUACAAUACUAUUACAAACCAGUGGACAACCCUGUGGUCCAUGAACCAGCCAAGAGCCUGGCCAGGAAUCGCUGUGUAUGAUGGGAAGAUUUAUCUCAUUGGAGGCUUCGACGGCUCCUACAGACUGCGCAGUGCCGAGGUGUACGACAUUGAUCGCGAUCGCUGGUCAUUCAUCAGCAACAUGUUGGUUGGGAGGGCAGGAUGUGGAGCGUCCAUUGUGUGAGGGAAUUCCUCCCCCCACCCCCACUCUAUUUGUGUCAUGCUGAAUACCGGAGCCUCUUGAAGUGUUGUCAGUCCCUUGCUGAUUGUAAGGAAGCCUGUGUGACUCUUUUGUGAUAAUUUUUUUAAAAUACAUUCUUUGCACCUAUAUUGUGAUAAUGCAUAUGGGCAUUGAUACAGUUGGUAAAAAUGUGUAUACGUAAUACUUAUACAUGUAUUAUGAUGAUCUAUGGCUGUGAUGUAUACUGUGUUUUUGUAAUAAGAACACCUACCCAUAUUUCAAAGUUUCUUCAGCAUUUUAUUCAGCAAGAUGAGUUACUGUAAACCAAUUUUUAUUCACGGCGACUUUAUUUCGCAAUUAACUGCUAAUAAAUAAACUGGUUCGCGACGACUAAUGUUCGCAACCAAGCCUUAUCCAGACCUGUAUUGUUAUAAAAACUAUAGACAAAGGAUUGGUUCGCGGCGAGAAAUAUUCGCGACAACAAGGCUCUCGCUAACCUCGCGAAAGUUGGAAUAAAAGUUGGUUUACAGUAAUGUACCGUACAAAAAGUCUUUUCUUUUUAUAGUGUAUGCCAAUGACAGUGCUUCUAGAUUUACAAAUUACUUGUUCAAUCUGAUCUCCUUGCAGAUGUAUGUGUAAAAACGUGAUCACUCUGUCUUUCCUUCAACACGCUAGUCUGUCUUCCAGAGAAUUUGUGAGGAAUACAUGUAUAUGGGUUCUUGAUGGAUGAUAUUUUGGGUUAAAUUUUUGGAAAAAUGCCAGUAAAACUGAUUAUGCUGCAUAUUGUAAUAUCCUGACCCUUAAUCUUUAAGCAAAAUCAUGCUGUAAAUCUUUCCUUUUGAUCUUUUCUUUCCUCUUUUAUAAUUUUUGUUUCUGUCUAUAUAUGCUGUAGUUUUGAGACUGUUAUAGAUUCAUCCAUUUAUUUGAACCUUUUUGUUCUUGAUUAAUUAGGUAAAACACUUGCUAAUACAUGAACAUGUAUAUAUAUUUUUAUUGUUGAGUCUUUAUUUUGCAUUGAGAUUGUGAUGUGUGCUAAUUUUUAAAAAGAUUUAAAUGU
rnacentral:misc_RNA from 1 species